rnacentral:lncRNA from 1 species
AGCAAAGACGACCAGCCGAGGAUGGCUGGCGGAGGCGUGGGGCAGGCCGCAGGACCCUCGAAGGAUCGUGUGAGACCCCGGGCAGCCUCUUGGGAGGCCAUUUCGAGGAGAAAACCUUGAUUUCUGCCUCAGGACCCUGGGCCUCAGUUUUCCUAUCUGAGAAGAAGGGCGAAGAGCUGUGCCCCCGACCACACCCGUCGGUGAUGGGGCAAACCGAGGGCAAGCAGAGGAGCGCUUCACUUUUGGUCAUCCCUUGGGCCACCAGGGCCUUCCCGUCUCCGUCUUCCCAUCGCAGGUCCUGGCCUCCUUCACACCACUCCAGGAUACCGCAGCAUCUCCCCCAGCGCAGCAGACGGAGGGCGCUUCACAUGCCCCCGGACCUAAGCCCACUCUCCCCUUCAAGAUCUGGACUCCACUUUUUUGCAACACUCUUAACUUCUUUGGAAGCUGGGAAGCCUCCUACUCCCUUGGGCCUCUCCACCCUGCCCUCAGCUAACUCGUCGGCAAGCCCCAGCCUAGACAUUGCCUGUUUUGUGAAGACAUCUAGAUGCUGGGCUGUCUGUUGAGUGCCCCACCCUGUGUUUGAGCAGCACCCUCUACUUCCCCUGUUCUACUUGCAUGUUUAUGUGCUCGUCUUCCUCAUUAUAAGAUCCACAGGGGAGGGGCCAUGUCUAUAUUAUUCAUACUUACAGUCCAGUGUCUAGUAUCUGGCACGUAGUAGGCACUCACUAGCUAUUGAGAUAUAAAUAUAGAUAUUUGUUGAAUUGAAAAUGAAUUGGGCCGGGCGUGGUGGCUCACGCCUGUAAUCCCAGAACUUUGGGAGGCCGAGGCAGGUGGAUCACUAGGUCAGGAGUUCGAGACAAGUCUGACCAAAAUGGUGAAACCCAGUCUCUACUAAAAAUACAAAAAUUAGCUGGGCGUGGUGGCACGUGCCUGUAAUCCCAGCUAUUCAGGAGGCUGAGGCGGGAGAAUCGCUUGAACCCCGGGAGGUGGAGGUUGCAGUGAGUCGAGAUUGCACCACUACACUCCAGCCUGGACAACAGAGUGAGACCCUGUCUCAAAAAAAAAAAAAAAAAAAGAGAAAAAGAAUAAAAUUAAAAAAAAGAAAAUAAAGGAACCUCAUUCACAUACACCUCCAAAACUCUGAUUUCCUAAAGUUGGGCAUUUCUCAUUGCUGGAGGUGUUCAGUUAGAGGCAUGCCGCCCCCUUGAAGAAAUGUUUAUUUCAUUUGUACAGUGGGUUGGGAUUUUACCUGAAUGCUUUGAGUACCCUUUUAAUCCUAUGAUGCUAGAGAUUGAUAGACCCAUGCCUAUUAUUCCUGUCAGUUCUCCCUGAAAUGUCAUCAGUUCUUCAUGUUCCGCUAUUUCUAGCUGUUGGCCCUACUCGUUUCUGUGCCUAAAUGCCCUACCUCCCACUCCUUUUCUGAGAAAGAUCUUCUGCCCUGUCAGUUAUGAAGUAAAGAUGUCCUAAGAUUCCUGCUCUUUCUUUUUUCUUUCUUUCUUUCUCUCUCUUUUUUUUUUUUUUCGACGGAGUUUCGCUCUUGUUGCCUGGAGUGCAAUGGCUGGAGUGCAAUGGCGCGAUCUCAGCUCACUGCAGCCUCUGCCACCUAGGCCCACCUUGGUCUCCCCAAGUGCUGGCAUUACAGGUGUGAGCCACUGUGCCCGGCCUCCUGCUCUUCUUUCAACCCUCUGCUCAGCAUCUUAGGCCUCAUUGGUGAUGUCCCACCUUGCUAGGUAGCAUCUUUCCUGAAUAUUUCUCCACUAAACAUUCUGAUGUUGGCUAGAUGGCCUAGUUAAUCUACACAUUUCAUUUUAUCACCUUCUCCAGAUGUUUUUUUGUGUAUGUCAGCUGAUACACUCUGGGGAGAAUGCCUUAAUAUAUGGGAAUAAUUAACUCAUGGCCAAGAAGGAAAUAACCAAGGGGACUUUUACUCUGGACCUAAUUCAAACCAAAGAGACAGAGCCUGAGAGAAAGCAGCUCUGUCAUCCUUGAGUUAGUAACAUCCAGGAAGGGAAGGCUAGGGUGGGGGAGUGAGUAAAACAGAUGGCAUUUAGGGAAGAACCAACAGGACUUUAAGAGGCAUGGCAGAGGGGCUUUGAUCCUGGCUAAACCAUCAGGGAAGGCAAUUGGAGCUGGGUGAACAGAUGGGGUCUUAUUACUGAAGAGAAAACGGUAAGGAGGCAGGGGGAAAUGGGACGUGUGCUAAAGCAGAGUGCCUCAUUCAGUGGAUGCAGUGAGAGCAGAGGCUGUUGGAAAAGUGGAUCAGGGAGGACCAUGCCACCAGGUGGGCAUCAGCAGAGUAUCACCCGAGUAUUGCAGAGGGAUACCAAAUAAGUCCACCUGAAGCCAGAGCUGAAACCCUGUGGAGGUCCGUUUACCCCUUCAGAAGUAGUGUACCACCAUCCAUCUACCACUGGAAUCCAAUUUCAGUUUUGGCAAAUUGUUAUAAAUAGGAAAAAGUCAGGGUUCCACAAUUCUGGCAGCACCCAGAGACUAUAACAGCAUCUGCACAGCCAAGUAGAGUUAGGAAACCUGGAUCCUAAUCCUGACUUUGCCUCUGAUUAGAUGUGUGAUCCUGGGCUGGAGCUGUUUUUUCAGUUGUAAAAUGCUGUUUAUUGGUGUUAGGUAGCAGCUAAUAAGGCUGGAGGUGGGGCUGGGUGUAGUGGCUCACACAUGUAAUCUCAGCAGUUUGACAGGCCAAGGCAGGAGGAUUGCUGGAGGCCAGGGAUUUGAGACCAGCUUGGGCUACAUAGUGAGACUCUGCCUGUACUAAAAAUUAAAAAAAAAAAAAAUAACUCAGUGCAGUGGCGCAUGCCUGUAGUCCCAGCUACUCAGGAGGUUGGGGUGGGAGGGUUGCUUGAGCCCAGGAGUUUGAGGCUGCAGUGAACUAUGAUCAAUCACACCACUGCAUUCUAGUAGCCUGAGUGACAGAGCAAGACCUGUCUCUAAAAAAAAAGAAAUUUUUUUUAAGGGUGGAGGUAGGGAAAUUCAAAGCUACUUACUAGCUGUGUGACCUUGCCUAAACUACCUCCUUGGAUUUGCAGUCUGUUUAUUUGAAAAUGUCAUAAGGGAUAAAUGAGAUUCCUUAUGUAAAGUACUUUAUAAAUAUUAAGCACUUACCAAAUGUUAGUCUGUUUUCACAUUAUUCUUCUUGGAUUACCAGAAAUUGGUUUGACCAUGAAUAAACAGGAGAUAAUUUCUUGGGUAAUCUGAGUUUGAAUCCCCUUUCUCUCUCUUACUAAUUGUAUGACUUUGAUUAGGUUAUUUAAUAUUUAAUUGUUCUGGGUCUCAGUUUUCUCAUUUGUGAAAUUAAAAUGUGUUCUUCAGAAUUGUGAGGGUUAAAUGUGAUAAAAGGCCUGACUCAUAUGAGAAAAUGCUCAAUAUAUUUGUUUUGUCAUUUUUAAGGGGUGGUUUUAGGGCACAGAACCCUAAAGGAAUGAAUGGAAUUCUAAAUACUUCGAAGCUAGAGUAGUGAAAGAUUCCAGGGGAACACAGUGCUGGCCUUCUCCCUUCUUCUUGGGGAAGAAAAGAUCUCAGUGAAGUUCCAUGGGUCUUCUCACAAUGUUGGGAGUCUUCCUGGAGUGAGUCACCAUGCAUUCCACAAACAAGGCAGAAAUGACAGUGGUGUUAUUGCCCCACAGUUGGGUGGACUCCCCCAAGAUCCAGGUGUGAUCAGCCCUGGUCCUAGUGAUAGACCAGCCCUUCUCCUACUACCCACGGAAGCUGCCUCAUCAUUGCCACCAUCCGCUUUCUCAACAGGAGAGACUUGAUACAGAAGGCAUAGUCCCUGCUCUCAAAGAACCUGGGACAAGUUGGGGAGGUGCAGCUGAGUUGGUAAAGAACCCCUGGGUAGCAUAGGAGAGUGAAUUCAUAGAUUCUAUAGACAAACCCCAUACCCAUACUUGGAAGAGUUGAGGAGUGACUGGUUGUCCCCCUAGGGCCAAGAGCUGCUGCCUCCCUCCCCUCCUCCUUCUUUUGCACAGCUUUAUUGAGCAUAAUUGAUAUACAGUAAACUGCACACUUUGAUGGAUUUUUGACAUACGUCUGCCCCUGUGAAACCACCACCACAAUCAACAAUGACCAUCUCCAUCACUCAUUGCCUUGUACCCAUGGAAAUCCCCCCUUGCUGCCCUCCUGCCCCACUCCCAGUCAACCACUGACCUGCUGUCAGUGACUAUGGAUUAGUUCACAUAUUCUAGAAUUGUACACAUGUAGAAUCAUACAGUAUGUGCACUUUUUUGGGUCUGUCUUCUUUCACUCAGUGUCAUUGUUUUAAGGCUCAUCUACGUCAUUGUAUAAACAGUUUGUUCCUUUCUAUUGCUGAGUAGUAUUCCAUUAUAUGAAUAUACUACAAUUUGUUUAUCCAUUCGUCAAUGGACUUUG